rnacentral:rRNA from 1 species
UGGGGAAUAUUGGACAAUGGGCGAAAGCCUGAUCCAGCGACGCCGCGUGAGCGAUGAAGUAUUUCGGUAUGUAAAGCUCUAUCAGCAGGGAAGAAAACGACGGUACCUGACUAAGAAGCCCCGGCUAACUACGUGCCAGCAGCCGCGGUAAUA